rnacentral:rRNA from 1 species
UAGGGAAUCUUCCGCAAUGGACGAAAGUCUGACGGAGCAACGCCGCGUGAGUGAAGAAGGAUUUCGGUUCGUAAAACUCUGUUGUUAGGGAAGAAAAAAUGUAUAGUAACUAUAUACAAAAGAGACGGUACCUAACCAGAAAGCCACGGCUAACUACGUGCCAGCAGCCGCGGUAAUACGUAGGUGGCAAGCGUUGUCCGGAAUUAUUGGGCGUAAAGCGCGCGCAGGUGGUUUAGAAAGUCUGAUGUGAAAGCCCACGGCUCAACCGUGGAGGGUCAUUGGAAACUAAUAAACUUGAGUCAAGGAGAAGAAAGUGGAAUUCCUAGUGUAGCGGUGGAAUGCGUAGAUAUGAGGAGGAAUACCGGUGGCGAAGGCGACUUUCUGGACUUGAACUGACGCUGAGGCACGAAAGCGUGGGGAGCAAACAGG